rnacentral:rRNA from 1 species
UACGGAGGGGGCUAGCGUUGUUCGGAAUUACUGGGCGUAAAGCGUACGUAGGCGGCUUUGUAAGUUAGAGGUGAAAGCCCAGAGCUCAACUCUGGAAUUGCCUUUAAGACUGCAUCGCUUGAAUCGUGGAGAGGUUAGUGGAAUUCCGAGUGUAGAGGUGAAAUUCGUAGAUAUUCGGAAGAACACCAGUGGCGAAGGCGACUAACUGGACACGAUUGACGCUGAGGUACGAAAGCGUGGGGAGCAAACAGG